rnacentral:rRNA from 1 species
CUUAAAACCCAAAGGACUUGGCGGUGCCCCACCCACCUAGAGGAGCCUGUUCUAUAAUCGAUAACCCCCGCUUAACCUCACCACUUCUUGCCAAUACCGCCUAUAUACCACCGUCGCCAGCCCACCCCGUGAGGGAAUAAGUAGGCACAAUGAUCACCACCAAAACGUCAGGUCAAGGUGUAGCGUAUGAAGUGGAAAGAAAUGGGCUACAUUCUCUAAUCUAGAGCACACGAAAAAUCAUAAGAAAUUAGAUUGGAAGGAGGAUUUAGUAGUAAAAAGAAACAAUAGUGUUCUUUUUAAGUUGGCCCUGGGGC